rnacentral:rRNA from 1 species
CUAAGAAUCUAGCCUCCCUCUCCUACCCCCCCCCCCCCUUUUUUUUAACUCAAACUAAAAUAUUUUAACAGCCCAGUAAAGAAGAUUAAAAAACUCCUAAGAGCUAUAAACUUGUACCGCAAGGGAAAGAUGAAAUAAAAAUGAAAAAAAUCUCAAGCACAAAGAAAUAGAGACUAACCCUCGUACCUUUUGCAUCAUGGUUUAGCUAGUAUAACCAGGCAAAAAGAUUUUAAGUCUGGCCCCCCGAAACUAAGUGAGCUAAUUUAGGGCCGCUUAAUGAGCUAACCCGUCUAUGUUGCAAAAUGGUGGGAAGACCCUAAAAUAGAGGUGAAAAACCUAACGAACUCAGUCAUAGCUGGUUUCUCAAGAAAAGAAUUUUAGUCCAACCUAAAGAAGCCCUAAUUUAUAUAAAUUCACCCCCAUCUUUAGAGCAAUUCAAAUGAGGUACAGCCCAUUUGAUACAGGAUACAACCUCCACUAACGGGUAACCACAACUUACAACCUCAAGUAGGCCUAAGAGCAGCCACCUUUUAAAAAGCGUCAGAGCUUAACUGUGUGUGUACUAAUUUAAACCCCAACAUCUACCCCUUUAACUGUAUUGAGAACUUCUAUACUACUAUAGAACCUUUUAUGCUAAAACUAGUAACAAGAGAUAACCCUCUCUUUAAUGCAAACAUAAGCCAGUAAGAACCCAUCUCUGGCAAUUAACAGACUUAAACAAAAGUAGUAACUCCACUAGAAAACCCUCCUUUACCCAACUGUUAACCUAACACCAGAGCAUUUCAAGAAAGAUUAAAAGAAAAAGAAGGAACUCGGCAAACACUAGUCUCGCCUGUUUACCAAAAACAUCGCCUCUUGCUCACAUAAGAGGUCAAGCCUGCCCAGUGACCCCAUUUAACGGCCGCGGUAUCCUAACCGUGCAAAGGUAGCGUAAUCACUUGUUUUCUAAAUAAAGACCAGUAUGAAAGGCAUCACGAGGACUAAACUGUCUCCUUUCUCUAAUCAGUGAACCUAAUCUCCCCGUGAAGAAGCGGGGAUAUCAUUAUAAGACGAGAAGACCCUAUGGAGCUUAAAACAUCAUAACACCUGCCACGAAUUUUUAACUACUCAGGUAUCUUCUUAGCGGCACCCUGAUUAUAUGUUUUUGGUUGGGGUGACCGCGGAGAAAAACUUAUCCCCCGCGAUGAACGGGGCUACCCCCUAAACAACAAGUCACAACUUUAUGUACCAAUAAAUUGACAUCCAUUGACCCAAUAAUUUGAUUAACGAACCAAGUUACCCUAGGGAUAACAGCGCAAUCCACUUUGAGAGCCCAUAUCGACAAGUGGGCUUACGACCUCGAUGUUGGAUCGGGGUAUCCUAGUGGUGCAGCCGCUACUAAAGGUUCGUUUGUUCAACGAUUAAAACCCCACGUGAUCUGAGUUCAGACCGGAGUAAUCCAGGUCAGUUUCUAUCUAUAAAGAGCUAUUUUCAGUACGAAAGGACCAAAGUAGCAUGGCCAAUACCCCCGCAAGCCAUAGUUAAUAUUUUAGACCCCCACUCAAAAAACUAUUAACCUUCCCCUCCCCCCAAGAAAAGGACA